rnacentral:tRNA from 1 species
UACAUCUUGGUGUAUGGUGCACGUUGACUUUUGAUGUUUUUCUGCGGUAGUUUGAUUCUGCUGGAUGUAA